rnacentral:rRNA from 1 species
GGUGACCUCGGAUCAGGUAGGGAUACCCGCUGAACUUAAGCAUAUCAAUAAGCGGAGGNAAAGAAACCACCCGGGAUUGCCUCAGUAACGGCGAGUGAAGCGGCAACAGCUCAAAUUUGAAAUCUGGCCCUCGCGGGGUCCGAAUUGUAAUUUGUAGAGGGUGUUUCGGGUGCGGUGCCGGUCUAAGUUCCUUGGAACAGGACGUCAUAGAGGGUGAGAAUCCCGUCUGCGAGUCGGCCACCAACCCCGGGUGAAACCCCUUCGACGAGUCGAGUUGUUUGGGAAUGCAGCUCAAAAUGGGUGGUAAAUUUCAUCUAAAGCUAAAUACCGGCCAGAGACCGAUAGCGCACAAGUAGAGUGAUCGAAAGAUGAAAAGCACUUUGGAAAGAGAGUUAAAAAGUACGUGAAAUUGUUGAAAGGGAAGCGCUUGCGACCAGACCUGCCCCCGGGUGAUCAUCCGCCAUUCGUGGCGGUGCACUCGCCCGGACGCAGGCCAGCAUCGGUUCGGGCGGCGGGACAAAGGACUCGGGAACGUAGCUCUCUCCGGGGAGCCUUAUAGCCCGGGUCGCCAUGCCGCCCGCCUGGACCGAGGACCGCGCUUCGGCUAGGAUGCUGGCGUAAUGGUCGUAAGCGACCCGUCUUGAAACACGGACCAAGGAGUCUNCCAUCCAUGCGAGUGUUUGGGUGUCAAACCCAGGCGCGGAAUGAAAGUGAACGGAGGUGAGACCCCGCAAGGGCGCAUCAUCGACCGAUCCAGAUGUCUUCGGAUGGAUUUGAGUACGAGCAUGGCUGGUGGGACCCGAAAGAUGAUGAACUAUGCCUGAAUAGGGUGAAGCCAGAGGAAACUCUGGUGGAGGCUCGCAGCGGUUCUGACGUGCAAAUCGAUCGUCGAAUUUGGGUAUAGGGGCGAAAGACCAAUCGAAUCAU